AGCAAAAUGGAUUAUUUUUGCAUUUGUUUCUUGCUUAUUGAUGCAUUCAUGAAUUAUUGUAUAUGCAAAGCCACAUUAUAGAAUUUCUGCAGCCAGUUUCUGUCAACAACAAACAAGGCAUUCCUUCUUUACAUCUGGAUCUAAAUCAGCUAGUAUCGCCAUCUGCAUUGAUGAUCAGUAUGGGCCACAACUGAGAUUCAACUCUGGCUGAUAGAAAAUGGCAAAAGUGAUGCCUGUUUAUAGUAGUUCAUGUAUUUCAUAUUAAAAGAUUUAAAAUAGAUUUACAGAUUAACAGGAUAAUCAGCAAGGAUACAUUAAAUUGAUAGAUUAUUUUUUUGCAACAAUGUAGAAAAAAAUCUUUGCUAUCACUUCUAUUUCAAAUGCGGUUAUUUUGAACUUGCUGUUCAUCUGGAAAAAAAUGUAUCAAAAAUUAGGCAGCACAACUGUUUUCAACAUUGAUAAUAAUAAGAUAUGUUUCUUGAGUACCAAAUCACCAUAUUAGAAUGAUUUUGAAGGAUCAUGUUACACUGAAGACUGGAGUAAUGAUGCUGAAAAUUCAAUUUUGUCCUUGCAUGAAUAAAUUACAUUUAAAAUAUAAUAGAAAACAGUUCAUUUAAAUUGCAAUGUUUCAUAAUAUUAUAAUUUUUACUGUAUUUUGAUAAAAUAAAUGCAACCCA